GGAGGAGCAUAUUCCAACAGCAGCAGAUGAGGGUGAAGCAUUCUCGAAGGAAGCCGAUGUGCAAGCAGAGAAAAAUGAAAAAUCCUUCGACGUGGAAGAUACCAAUGUGCAAGCAGAGAAAAAUGUCGAAUCAAAUGAGAACUUGAAGGAGAAUAUUCCAAGAGCAGCAGAUGAAGGUGAAACAUUUCCGAAGGAAGCUGAAGCAGAAAGCAAGGAUGAGAUUAAAAAUGACGAUAUUGUUCAUCCAGAUAUUGAUGGAGACGGAGAUGAAAUCGAUAGUUCUGAAGAGAACUUGGAUAAGCAGAUUCCAGCAGGGGAAUGUGAAACAAGCUUGAAAGCAGCCGAAGCAGAAUAUAAGGAGCAGGUCAUUCAUGCUGAUAUUGCUCCUGAAGAGAAGGGUCUAGCAACCAUCUUAACAGAUGAAACACCCAAGGACUGUGUCGAAUCAAAAGAGAAAGUGGAGGAGCAGAUUACAACAGCAGAUGAAGGCGAAAAAAGUACUUAUAUUUCUCCUGAAGAUAGUGAAGUACAAGAAGAUGAAAAUUUUAUUACACUAGAGAAUUUGGAGAAGCCGAUUCGAACAACAUCAGGUGAACGAGAAACAGGCUUGGGAGAAGCUGAAGCAGAAAUUAAGGAGCAGGUCAAAAGUAUUGAUAUUGUUCCUGAAGAGAUGGCAACCAUCUCAACAACUGAGACACCCUUGGACGUUGAAGAUAUCGGUGUACAAGCAGAGGAAACUCUCAAAUCAAAAGAGAACGUGGAGGAGCAUAUUCCAACAGCAGCAGAUGAAGGUGAAAAAUUCUUGAAGGAAGCCGAAGCAGAAAACAAGGCGCAGAUUGACGAGGAAACUUUGAAUUCACAAGAAUCCUCAGACAAAGAAAAAGAAGAAGUGACUGAAAUUACAAACACAAAAGAUGACACUGAAAGGGAGGAGGUAAGAUCGGAAUAAACUUUUUUAUGAGUUUUUCUCUCUGGCUUAUCAUCUGUUUAGUUAUUGACCGAUAUGCAGGAUUCAUAACGUAUCACUGAUAAAUAUGAAUAUGCGAAAAUACGAUGGUUUAUUUUUAAUAUGGUACAAACGAUUUCUAAAAUCUAUUUUCUCCUUAUAUAUUAUGACGGUUUCAUCUCUAAUGUAGGUGCUUGAGACUACCAGCACGGAGCAAGAAACUGGAGAACAUGUGGUACACGAAAUUCAUAGAGUCCCAGAACCUCCUCGAGAUUCCAUUGAUAAAGAAACAAAUGAAGACAACUCCGCGGAAUAUCAGGUUUACCUGGACACAAACAUAAAGCCUACAAGUGCUGUCCUUUUUCUUCGUCUCCCAGUACAUAACCUAUGUUUUUUUUCCCUUCCAAUGUUAGGCAUGUACUGAGGUAGCUGAUGUGAGUACAAGUGCAGAGGAAAAGAACUUAGAGGAACAUGCCAUUCGGGAACUCUCUUCUCCACUGGUAGUAGAAGAAGCAACUAAAGAAAUCCCGGAAGUUGAAAGGCAGGACAAAAACAUUGAUACUGCACCUGAAGAAAAGGGUCAAGCAACCAUCUCAGCAGAUGAAAUGGCCUCGGAAGUUGAGGAUAUUGAUGUACAAUUAAAGGAGAAUCUUGAGUCAGAAGAGAACUUGGAGGAACAAUUUCUGAUAGCAGCAGAUGAAGGUGAAAUAAUCUCCAAAGAUGCCAAAGCAGAAAACCAGGAGCAGAUAAAAAAUGUUGAUAUUGCUCAUGAAGAUGUUGAUGCACAAGCGGAGAAAACUGUCAACUCAGAAGAGAACAUAGAUAAGCAGAUUCCUUCAAUAGCACAUGAAGGUGAAACAAGCUUGAAAGAAACCGCUGUCUUGAUUCUAAAAGAAGAGGUUAGCAUGAUAUAAGAAUUUUCGAUUUUUUUCAUUAUAGUCUAUUGCAUUACAUAUUCCAAUCAAGAAUUGAUAUCCCCUGCAGAAAAAGGAAGAAGAUACAGAAUGUAACGAGCCUUCUGAGGUAGCGAGUAUGACACAUGAAACACGAACUGAAACCACAGAGGACAUAACAGAGCCAAAUAAGGACCUCAAUGCUCCAAUUUCAGGAGAAAGCAACAAAACAUUUGUUGAAAAUAUUUCCACUCUCGCUGAGGUAUCUGAGAUGGAGACUGAGAAAAAUGGCCUGGCUGUCAGCAAUUCUGACUCUGCGUCGGGUGAAGUGAGUCAUGUAACAGGUUUGAAGGAAGCUGAAACAGAAAAGGAGGAGCAGAAAGAAAACAUGGAUACUGCUCCGGAAGAGAAGGGUCAAGCAACCAUCGUAAAAGAUGAAAUGGCCUCGGAAGUUGAAGAUAUUGGUGUACAAGCAGAGGAAAAUUGUGAAUCAAAAGAGAAGUUGGAGGAGCAUAUUCCAACAGCAGCAGACAAGGUUGAAACAUUCUCAAAGGAAGCCGAGGCAGAAAAUGAGGAGCAGAUAAACAAUGGUGAUGUUGCUGCUGAAGAGAAGGUUUCGGAAACCAUCUUAACAAAUGAAAGAACCUUCGACGUGGAAGAUACCAAUGUGCAAGCAGAGAAAAAUGUCGAAUCAAAUGAGAACUUGGAGGAGACUAUUCCAACAGCAGCGGAUGAAGGCGAAACAUCCCUGCAGGAAGCUGAAGCAGAAGGCAAGGAUGAGAUUAAAAGUACUGAUAUUGCUCAUGCAGAUACUGAUGGACAUGGAGAUGAAAUUGAUAAUUCUGAAGAGAACUUGGAUAAGCAGAUCCCAGCAGGCGAACGUGAAAUAAGCUUGAAAGCAGCCGAAGCAGAAUAUAAGGAGCAGGUCAAACAUGCUGAUAUUGUUCCUGAAGAGGAGGGUCUAGCAACCGUCUUAACAGACGAAACACCCUUAGAUGUCGAGGAUAUUGAGGUAAAAACUGACUGUGUCGAAUCAAAAGAGAAUGUGGAGGAGCAGAUUCCAACAACAGUAGAUGAAGGCGGAAAAAGUACUUAUAUUUCUCCUGAAGAUAUUGAAGUACAAGCAGAUGAAAAUUUUAUUACACUAGAGAAUUUGGAGAAGCCAAUUCUAACAACAUCAGGUGAACGAGAAACAGGCUUGGGAGAAGCUGAAGCAGAAAUUAAGGAGCAGGUCAAAAGUAUUGAUAUUGUUCCUGAAGAGAUGGCAACCAUCUCAACAGCUGAGACACCCUCGGAUGUUGAAGUUAUCGGUGUACAAGCAGAGGAAAGCCUCAAAUCAAAAGAGAGCGUGGAGGAGCAGAUUCCAACAGCAGCGGAUGAAGAUGAAAGAUUCUUGAAGGAAUCCAAAGCAGAAAACAAGGAGCUGAUCGACGAGGAAAAUUUGAAUUUACAAGAACAAGUGACUGAAAUUACAAACACAAUAGAAGAUGACACUGAAAGGGAGGAGGUAAGAUCGGAAUAAAUUUUUUUAUGAGUUUUUCUCUCUGGCUUACCAUCUGACAAGUAGUCUCCCUACACGGUUUUGUUAUUGAUUAAGAUGCAAGAUUCAUAACGUAUCACAGAUGCAUAUGAACAUGCGAAGAAACUAUGUUUUAUUUUAAAAUGGUAAGAACGAUUUCUAAAAUCUAUUUUCUCCUUAUAUAUUAUGAUGGUUUCAUCUCUAAUGUAGGUGCUUGAGACUACCAGUACGGAGCAAGAAACUGGAGAACAUGUGGUACACGAAAUUCAUACUGUCCCAGAACCCCCUCGAGACUCCAUUGAUAAAGAAACAAAUGAAGACAACUCCGCGGAAUAUCAGGUUUACCUGGACACAAACAUAAGGCCUACAAAAGUGUGAUCCUUUUUCUUCGUCUCCCAGUACAUAACCUUUGUUUUUUUUUUCCCUUCCAAUGUUAGGCAUGUACUGAGGCAGCUGAUUUGAGUACAAGUGCAGAGGAAAAGAACUUAGAGGAACAUGCCAUUCGGGAACUCUCUUCUCCACUGGUAGUAGAAGAAGCAACUAAAGAAAUCCCGAAAGAAGAAGAAACCUACCCCACGCUUCUAGAAGAAGAGGUAAUCUAGCAUUCAAUAUCAAAUUUUUAGAUUAAAAUACACUAUAGUAUUAUCUUGCAAAUUGAAAUUUACAACUCAUAUCGGCAACAGGAAAAGGAAGGGCAUGCAACAUGUAACAAGCCCAAUGAGGAAUAUGAGGCAGAGAUUGAGAAAAAUAUUCAGGAGAAAGAUGGCAACACAGUUAGCAAUUCUGAAUCUCUGUCUGGAGAACUGAGUCAUGUAACAGCCUUGAAGGAAUGUGAAACAGAGAUUGAAAGGCAGGACAGGAACAUUGAUACUGCUCCUGAAGAGAAGGGUCAAGCAACCAUCUCAGCAGAUGAAACAGCCUCGGAAGUUGAGGAUAUUGAUGUACAAUUAAAGGAGAACCUUGAGUCUAAAGAGAACUUGGAGGAACAAUUUCCAACAGCAGCAGAUGAAGGUGAAAUAAUCUUGAAAGAAGCUGAAGCAAAAAACCAGGAGCAGAUAAAAAAUGUUGAAAUUGCUCAUGAAGAUGUUGAUGCACAAGCGGAGAAAACUGUCAACUCAGAAGAGAACAUAGAUAAGCAGAUUCUGCCAAUAGCACAUGAAGGUGAAACAAGCUUGAAAGAAACCGCUGUCUUGAUUCUAAAAGAAGAGGUUAGCAUGAUAUCAGAAUUUUCGAUUUUUACAUUAUAGUUCAUUGUAUUACAUAUUCCAAUCAAGAAUUGGUAUCCCCCUGCAGAUAAAGGAAGAAGAUACAGAAUGUAAUGAGCCUGCUGAGGUAGCGAGUAUGACACAUGAAACACGAUCUGAAACCACAGAGGACAUAACAGAGCCAAAUAAGGACGUCAAUGCUCCAAUUUCAGGAGAAAGCAACAAAACAUUUGUUGAAAAUAUUUCCACACUCGCUGAGGUAUCUGAGACGGGGACUGAGAAAAAUGUUCAGGAGAAAAAUGGCCCGGCUGUCAGCAAUUCUGACUCUGCGUCAGGUGAAGUGAGUCAUGUAACAGGUUUGAAGGAAGCUGAAACAGAAAAGGAGGAGCAGAAAGAAAACAUUGAUACUGCUCCGGAAGAGAAGGUUCAAGCUACCGUCUUAAAAGAUGAAAUGGCCUCGGAAGUUGAAGAUAUUGGUGUACAAGCAGAGGAAAAUUGUGAAUCAAAAGAGAAGUUGGAGGAGCAUAUUCCAACAGCAGCAGACAAAGUUGAAACAUUCUCAAAGGAAGCCGAGGC
rnacentral:lncRNA from 1 species